GACGAACGCUGGCGGCGUGCUUAACACAUGCAAGUCGAACGGAAAGGCCCUGCUUUUGUGGGGUGCUCGAGUGGCGAACGGGUGAGUAACACGUGAGUAACCUGCCCUUGACUUUGGGAUAACUUCAGGAAACUGGGGCUAAUACCUGAUAGGAGCUCCUGCUGCAUGGUGGUGUUUGGUAAGUUUCGGCGGUUGGGGAUGGACUCGCUGGUUAUCAGCUUGUUGGUGGGGUAGUUGCUUACCAAGGCUUUGACGGGUAGCCGGCCUGAGAGGGUGACCGGCAACAUUGGGACGGAGAUACGGCCCAGACUCCAACGGGAGGCAGCAGUGGGGAAUAUUGCACAAUGGGCGGAAGCAUGAUGCAGAAACGCCGCGUGCGGGAUGACGGCCUUCGGGUUGUAAACCGCUUUCGCAUGUGACGAAGCGUGAGUGACGGUAAUGGGUAAAGAAGCACCGGCUAACUACGUG
rnacentral:rRNA from 1 species